GUGAGUCAUCGAAUCUUUGAACGCACAUUGCGCCCCUUGGUAUUCCGGGGGGCAUGCCUGUUCGAGCGUCAUUUCAACCCUCACGCGUAGCGUGGUCUUGGGCUCUGCCGGCAACGGCUUGCCUUAAAAUCAGUGGCGGUGCCAUCGAGCUCUACGCGUAGUAAUAAACCCCUCGCGUGUGAGUCUCGGCGGUCGCUUGCCAGCAACCCCCAAUUUUUUAUGGUUGACCUCGAAUCAGGUAGGGAUACCCGCUGAACUUAAGCAUAUCAAUAAGCGGAGGA
rnacentral:misc_RNA from 1 species